CAAUUCUCUGCAAACCUGCUUGACUCCUGCAAAGUUUUUCCUCGAUUGGUUUGGACAGAGGGACGUCUUACCUCUUCAACGGCUGGUAAAGGUCCUUAAUAAAGGGUGUGUUUUGUGAUCCUGCCAAGGUGCUUCACUCACAGUAGGAGACGGGAGGUAGUCAGAGACCAACCCAUGAUAUCAGAGUUCAAGACUAGAUGGCCAGGACUGUUCACUGUGCCUGAGGUGCAAGCCGAAUUUCUGAGGAUUACCACUGUUCCCCUCAUCACAAAGUUUUUUGCACAACUUGAUUACCACACUGAUCAGCUCAUCAGAUUGCUGACGAAGGCAGGUGGAUCUUAAGGAAGGCAAAUUGACCUCAUCUUUGCCCCGACUGCACAGAAUGAAAUCGCUGAAAAGAAGAGGGAGUGCCUCCUCACAGCACUCUGUAUCUAUCUAAAUGAAAAUCCGAGCAGUCUCUUCAAAGAGUAUAUGG